rnacentral:rRNA from 1 species
UUAGAGUUUGAUCCUGGCUCAGAGCGAACGCUGGCGGCAGGCUUAACACAUGCAAGUCGAGCGGGCGUAGCAAUACGUCAGCGGCAGACGGGUGAGUAACGCGUGGGAACGUACCUUUUGGUUCGGAACAACACAGGGAAACUUGUGCUAAUACCGGAUAAGCCCUUACGGGGAAAGAUUUAUCGCCGAAAGAUCGGCCCGCGUCUGAUUAGCUAGUUGGUGAGGUAACGGCUCACCAAGGCGACGAUCAGUAGCUGGUCUGAGAGGAUGAUCCGCCACAUUGGGACUGAAGACACGGCCCAAACUCCUACGGGAGGCAGCAGUGGGGAAUAUUGGACAAUGGGGGCAACCCUGAUCCAGCCAUGCCGCGUGAGUGAUGAAGGCCCUAGGGUUGUAAAGCUCUUUUGUGCGGGAAGAUAAUGACGGUACCGCAAGAAUAAGCCCCGGCUAACUUCGUGCCAGCAGCCGCGGUAAUACGAAGGGGGCUAGCGUUGCUCGGAAUCACUGGGCGUAAAGGGUGCGUAGGCGGAUCUUUAAGUCAGAGGUGAAAGCCUGGAGCUCAACUCCAGAACUGCCUUUGAUACUGGGGAUCUUGAGUUCGGGAGAGGUGAGUGGAACUGCGAGUGUAGAGGUGAAAUUCGUAGAUAUUAGCAAGAACACCAGUGGCGAAGGCGGCUCACUGGCCCGAUACUGACGCUGAGGCACGAAAGCGUGGGGAGCAAACAGCCUUAGAUACCCUGGUAGUCCACGCCGUAAACG